CUCCGCCGGGCCCCGCGUCUCCGCGGACACUCGCAAGGGCCCCCGCGCCCUCUGGGGCCCAGCCUUGGGGGGCCAGAUUGAAGCGGGGAUGCGCCGGCCCUAGUUGUUGGUUUGUUUUCUUUCUUUCUCCACGACAGUCAGGACCAACAACUGGUGGCAGGUAGUGCGGCAGCAACUUUCCUCUUCCGCUGCGGGGAGUUUCUCGGACCCCGUCGGAAGGGCUGGAUCCGCCCCGGCAGCCCGGGGCUUGUCCGCGGGCGGUUUGCGAGGCCAGGCCGGGUGAGACACUGUGUCCGCGCCUGGAAGUGGGACCCUUUACCGGAGCCCCCUGCUUUAGGACAUCCUCUGCCCGCACUGCUGGCGCUCUCUUGGGGUUGAGGCUCUCACUUCUGAGUUGCUCAAGAAGUGUCUUUCUUGAUUCCCGGAGCCCUGCCCGCCUGCGUCGGAGCUGAAGAAUCCAAGGGCUAGGAUAAUAGUUAAUAAUGAGUAUUUCGAUGGCUCUUACAUUUCCUGGGUGCCUAUGAGGGGCCAGGUGUCCUGCUACGCAUAUCUCACUUCAUCACAACCGCGCUUUAAAGUAAUUAUGACAAGAGCAAAAUUUAUAUAUCCAGGUGCCUUGCAAAUAUUCACUCAAUUUGCCAAUAACCUUUGGAGGCGGUGCUGUUAGUAUCCCCAUUUUAUAAAUGGGGAAACUGAGGCCCCGGCCCAGGCAUCCACUUGGCUGAAGUCACAGGCUUGUGAGUUGUACAGCAGGGAUUUGAACCCAGGGAGCCUGGCUGUGGACUGUGCUCAUCCCAUCUAAGCUGUGUUUUCUAAGUAAGGAAGCGGAUGCUCAGAGUUAAGUGAUUUUCCAAGGGUGACCUAGCUACCAAGUGGUGGAACUGGCAUUUGAGCCAGCCUAGAUCAGAGUCUGAGGAGGAGGGACUUGGAGCACAGUGGGAAGAGAUUCACCCAUUGUCCCCUGGCUGCCAGUGCAGCGGGGUGUCUGGUCAAUCUGAAAUUGGUGCUGUGGGAAAUGCGAGGUCUGACUGGGACAUUGACUGGGACAUUGACUGGGAUGGUUGGGCCAGGACAGCUCUGGUGGAGUAGCCAGCAGCNCGAGGUCUGACUGGGACAUUGACUGGGACAU
rnacentral:lncRNA from 1 species